CCCAAAUCCACCCACUUUGGGGCCCAGCGUCCUUACUGGCACAUCACCUCGUGUCUACCCCCUUCGGGGAACAGUGAGAAGGCUAGCACAUCGUGCAAUGUCUGGCUCUGAUACCAUUUGUAACAACUCAAGUCCACC